rnacentral:rRNA from 1 species
AACGAACGCUGGCGGCAUGCCUAACACAUGCAAGUCGAACGAGACCUUCUGGUCUAGUGGCGCACGGGUGCGUAACGCGUGGGAACCUGCCCUUAGGUUCGGAAUAACUCCCCGAAAUGGUUGCUAAUACCGGAUAAUGUCUUCGGACCAAAGAUUUAUCGUCUUUGGAUGGGCCCGCGUUGGAUUAGCUAGUUGGUAGGGUAAAAGCCUACCAAGGCGACGAUCCAUAGCUGGUCUGAGAGGAUGAUCAGCCACACUGGGACUGAGACACGGCCCAGACUCCUACGGGAGGCAGCAGUGGGGAAUAUUGGACAAUGGGCGACAGCCUGCUCCAGCAACGCCGCGUGAGUGAUGAAGGCCUUAGGGUUGUAAAGCUCUUUUACCCGGGAUGAUAAUGACAGUACCGGGAGAAUAAGCUCCGGCUAACUCCGUG